rnacentral:rRNA from 1 species
AGGGUUCGAUCAUGGCUCAGAACGUACGCUGGCGGCAUGCCUAACACAUGCAAGUCGAACGAGAAAGUUCCUUCGGGAGCAAUUAAAGUGGCGCACGGGUGAGUAACGCGUAGACAAUCUGCCCUUCAGUCUGGGACAACUUUUCGAAAGGAGAGCUAAUACCGGAUAACAAUGCACGACACAAGUUGUAUAUUUGAAAGCUUUAUGUGCUGAAGGAGGGGUCUGCGCCCCAUUAGCUAGUUGGUAAGGUAAAGGCUUACCAAGGCAACGAUGGGUAGCGGGUUUGAGAGGACGAUCCGCCACACUGGAACUGAGACACGGUCCAGACUCCUACGGGAGGCAGCAGUGGGGAAUAUUGCACAAUGGAGGAAACUCUGAUGCAGCAAUGUCGCGUGAGUGAAGAAGGCCCUUGGGUCGUAAAGCUCUUUUAUGGGGGAAGAUGAUGACGGUACCCCAAGAAUAAGCACCGGCUAACUAUGUGCCAGCAGCCGCGGUAAUAC